rnacentral:rRNA from 1 species
GUCGCCUCCUAAAAGGUAACGGAGGCGCUCAAAGGUUCCCUCAGAAUGGUUGGAAAUCAUUCAUAGAGUGUAAAGGCAUAAGGGAGCUUGACUGCGAGACCUACAAGUCGAGCAGGGUCGAAAGACGGACUUAGUGAUCCGGUGGUUCCGCAUGGAAGGGCCAUCGCUCAACGGAUAAAAGCUACCCCGGGGAUAACAGGCUUAUCUCCCCCAAGAGUUCACAUCGACGGGGAGGUUUGGCACCUCGAUGUCGGCUCAUCGCAUCCUGGGGCUGUAGUCGGUCCCAAGGGUUGGGCUGUUCGCCCAUUAAAGCGGUACGCGAGCUGGGUUCAGAACGUCGUGAGACAGUUCGGUCCCUAUCCGUCGUGGGCGUAGGAAAUUUGAGAGGAGCUGUCCUUAGUACGAGAGGACCGGGAUGGACAUACCUCUGGUGUACCAGUUGUCGUGCCAACGGCAUAGCUGGGUAGCUAUGUGUGGACGGGAUAAGUGCUGAAAGCAUCUAAGCAUGAAGCCCCCCUCAAGAUGAGAUU